rnacentral:rRNA from 1 species
UAGGGAAUAUUGGUCAAUGGAGGCAACUCUGAACCAGCCAUGCCGCGUGCAGGAAGAAGGCCCUAUGGGUCGUAAACUGCUUUUGAACAAGAGAAAACCCCGGUACGUGUACUGGGUUGAUAGUAUUGUUAGAAUAAGCAUCGGCUAACUUCGUGCCAGCAGCCGCGGUAAGACGAAGGAUGCAAGCGUUAUCCGGAUUCAUUGGGUUUAAAGGGUGCGUAGGCGGACUGAUAAGUCAGUGGUGAAAUCUCUCGGCUUAACCGAGAAACUGCCAUUGAUACUGUUAGUCUAGAGUACAGAUGAUGUGGGCGGAAUAUGACAUGUAGUGGUGAAAUACUUAGAUAUGUCAUAGAACACCGAUUGCGAAGGCAGCUCACAAAACUGUAACUGACGCUGAGGCACGAAAGUGCGGGGAUCAAACAGGAUUAGAUACCCCCGUAGUCCCUGAGCGGGCUGGCAAGGCGCAU